UCAGUGUCCAGAGCACCCAAUCAGGAAGCACAGUGUCCAAAUAGCAACUUUCACUGUGGUUUAUUUACUGGAAGUGUGUUCACCAGCUUAUGGGACUGUGGAAAAUUAUUUUUCCUUUCACACUAACAUAGUACAUUAAAGAAGAAAAAUCACAGUGUUUAUAAUAUAUUUCUUCUGCAUUAUUUUACUCACUGUGACUGGGUUUAAUAUUUCAGAGUAAAGCUUCUUUCUACUCAUUGGUACUAUAAUGUAUGCUUUGAAAAUUUUAAUUAAUGAAUUCCAUUAUUAAUCCCACAUUUGAAGUCAAUGCCCAAUUUUUUCUUAUUUUCUUUUAUUAAACAAUUUUUAAAUUUGAAUAUAUUUUGAUCAUAUUCUUCCCUUCCCAAAGGCCUCCUGAAUACUCCACCCUGUGAACUUUAAGUUCCAAAAACUAUCAAAAGCCCAAUUAAAAAAAAAGCCUAAUACAAAAGGAAAAUUUACGCAAAACCAAGAAAACAAAAUAAAACAAUACUAAAACCAAUUACUCAUUAUUUUUUUAAAGGAACAAAAUAAAAUGCAUUAACAUAAAUAACUAAUGAAUCAAAAUUAGUGAAGACAAAUUAACAGAAGAAAAAAUUGCAAGGGAAGAUACAAGAAUCAGAGACCCCGCUCAUUUGCACACUCAGGGAUCCCAUAAAUACACUGAACUGGAGUUGCAAUAUACACACAGAGGACCUGCUAGAGACGUGUGCCCGCCUUAUGCAUGCUUCCUCCGUCUCUCUCUUUCUGAUCUGGAGAUCCUUGCCAAAUCAAUCACAUUUUUUU